rnacentral:rRNA from 1 species
GGUUAAGUGACUAAGCGUACACGGUGGAUGCCUGGGCAGUCAGAGGCGAUGAAGGACGUACUAACUUGCGAUAAGCGCAGAUAAGGCAGUAAGAGCCGUUUGAGUCUGCGAUUUCCGAAUGGGGAAACCCAACUGCAUAAGCAGUUACUGUUAACUGAAUACAUAGGUUAACAGAGCAAACCGGGGGAACUGAAACAUCU